rnacentral:rRNA from 1 species
UACGGGGGGAGCAAGCGUUGUUCGGAUUUACUGGGCGUAAAGGGCGCGUAGGCGGCCAGUGCCAGUCAGUUGUGAAAUCUCCGAGCUUAACUCGGAAAGGUCAACUGAUACUGCUCGGCUAGAGUGCGGAAGGGGCAACUGGAAUUCUUGGUGUAGCGGUGAAAUGCGUAGAUAUCAAGAGGAACACCUGCGGCGAAGGCGGGUUGCUGGGCCGACACUGACGCUGAUGCGCGAAAGCUAGGGGAGCGAACGGG